rnacentral:rRNA from 1 species
AACGAACGCUGGCGGCAUGCCUAACACAUGCAAGUCGAACGAGACCUUCGGGGCUAGUGGCGCACGGGUGCGUAACGCGGGGGAACCUGCCCUUAGGUUCGGAAUAACUCCCCGAAAGGGGUGCUAAUACCGGAUAAUGUCUUCGGACCAAAGAUUUAUCGCCUUUGGAUGGGCCCGCGUUGGAUUAGCUAGUUGGUAGGGUAAAAGCCUACCAAGGCGACGAUCCAUAGCUGGUCUGAGGGGAUGAUCAGCCACACUGGGACUGAGACACGGCCCAGACUCCUGCGGGAGGCAGCAGUGGGGAAUAUUGGACAAUGGGCGAAAGCCUGAUCCAGCAAUGCCGCGUGAGUGAUGAAGGCCUUAGGGUUGUAAAGCUCUUUUACCCGGGAUGAUAAUGACAGUACCGGGAGAAUAAGCACCGGCUAACUACGUG